rnacentral:misc_RNA from 1 species
GCUGAAGGUAUCGUGAGGGAGGCCGUGGAGAAGGCCAUGGACAACGGAAACCGCGGCAUUGGCGCAGGACUCGUUCGUAUCUUCUUCCACGACUGCUUUGUUCGGAACACCUGUCCGUGCUUCUAGCUUCGCUGUGGGCGCUGCCUACCCACAAGCGGGAGAGUUUCUCUGGAGGGUGGCGAUCCAUCCCUUUCCGCCCGCCAGACUUUGGUCCUCAGCCAGGAGGGGGAGGGGGUGAGCUCGCUGGUGAAACUUCAGAGAAGAUGGACCCAAGGCUGAAACCCUCACAGUGGGAUCGGUGGAACUCUAAGGAGGCGAGGAAUCCACCCAAUGCUUGGGGAAGACACCGCAAUAUGAGCUGGCGACUCCGACCCUCACACGUGAAAUCUGAGGGAGAGGUGAUUGGAUCAUCAUCUGGUGACAUGAAUAACCCAGGUAACCCUAAAUCCCCGACUCUCCCUGGGAUGCUGGAGGUAGAAGGAAGUCGUCGCACAUUCUGCCAAAAAUGCGGUGAUGAAGGUCAUCAUGCCAGAGAUUGUUCUAGGGCUUUGUGGUGUGAUAUCUGCAUGAAAGAGACUCAUGUAACUGCGAAAUGUGUGUGGCCAAGACAGAACAAACCUAUUAUGCCAUUAGUGGGAAUGGCAGCAGAUGGUUUGAGUUUUUACUCCUCUCAGUUUGGAAAGAACAUUUCCAAAAAACCAAAGAGGAGCCUGUUGGGAUUAGUCAAAAUUGUGGAGGGGAUUGUGUCUGCUGGUGAUCUGGAGAGGGAUUUUAGCUUCCAUUUCCCAUGGGGACGACCCUGGAAAGCUGAUAAGUGUCAUCUUGGUUUCCUGAUGCAAUUCCCAUCACAGGACAGGCUUGAUGAACUGACCAACUUUACUGAGUUGAAGAUGAAGAUUUCAGGGGUUAAGAUUGUAGUAACUGUGUGGAACUCUCAGGUUUUGGCUAAAUCCAGAUUGCACUCAGUUUGGAUUAAGGCCGAUAAUGUGCCUGAAGAAUUGUUGAACUAUCAAGCCAUAUGUGAGUUGGGUUCGGUUUUAGGAGCUGUGGAAGAAGUGGAUCUGGCCGCUCUGAAAUCCAAUGACAUGGUUAGAUUUAAAGUGCAUGUGAAGAGCAUCGCGAGGAUUCCACCUGUCAUUGAGAUAGGAGUCAAGCAUCUCUUAUAUGACAUUUAUUUUAAGGUGGAAAAGGUAGAAACUGAAGGAUGGAAUGAGGAAGAAGCUAGUAUGAGAAAGAGAUCUUCUGUUGAUUUACAGCCGAACGAGUUCGGUUUGGGUGACAAUGGAGGGAAAAAACCCAAAAGUGAUAUUCAUGAAAGUGGGAAGGUCCCUCUGAUUCCUGUAAAUCAGAAAACAUCUUCCUCUGAGUUUAAAGAAGCAAUGUUUGCUACAGAUCCACAAACCAAUGAAUGUGACAAAUGCAAUGAAGAGGGGGAAAAUCUGGGGGAUGAAAACAAUGAGAAGGUAGACUUUGAAGACAGUGAUGAAGACCUUCUUAGUUCCCAAGAGCUUAACAACUUUGUGAAAGGAAUGGGUGUUGAGAUAGCGGAUGAGCAGGAAUUGGAGAUGGAUGAGGGUGAACUCCUCAAAGUUCAAGAUGAGCAACAAACUGGUAAGGAUAAAAAAGGUAAAGCCAAGUUGGUAGAUCAAGUUGAAGGCACAAGGAAAAGUAGCAGACUGGAGGCAAAUGAAGAUAUCAGGAUUACGGACAAAGCCAUCAACAGAGCUGAAGCGAAGGAUGCCUUCUUGAACAUAGAAAAAAUCGGCAAGAAGGAUGCUGGAGGAAAGAAGCAAUCAUAUCAGAAAAAUGGCUAGUGAGUUCUUCAGUCGAGCUUGGGGAUGGUCUCCAGUUGACAGGAGGCUGACGCAGUGAUCGGUUGAGUGGGGGAUCCUUUUUGGCGAUGAUGCUUCUUUCUGUUCUUGAACCUAGAGACUCUUUUGGCUAUUAUAUCAGGAUGUCGGUCUGUAAUAAUGUCUUGGUUAAACCCCCUUUCUUGUCUUAGUC